rnacentral:rRNA from 1 species
AUUGAACGCUGGCGGCAUGCCUUGCACAUGCAAGUCGAACGGUAACAGGUUAAGCUGACGAGUGGCGAACGGGUGAGUAAUGUAUCGGAACGUGCCCAGUCGUGGGGGAUAACGUAGCGAAAGCUAGGCUAAUACCGCAUACGAUCUACGGACGAAAGCGGGGGAUCGCAAGACCUCGCGCGAUUGGAGCGGCGCAUAUCAGAUUAGGUUGUGUGUGAGGUAAAAGCUCACCAAGCCUGCGAUCUGUACCGGGUCUGAGAGGACGACUAGCCACACUGGAACUGCGACACGGUCCAGACUCCUACGUGAGGCAGCAGUGGGGAAUUUUGGACAAUGGACGCGAGUCUGAUCCAGCAAUGCCGCGUGCAGGACGAAGGCCUUCGGGUUGUAAACUGCUUUUGUACGGAACGAAACGGUGAGCUCUAAUACAGUUUGCUAAUGACGGUACCGUAAGAAUAAGCACCGGCUAACUACGUGCCAGCAGCCGCCGUAA